UCGAGGAUCUUCGGCAAUGGGCGAAAGCCUGACCGAGCGACGCCGCGUGUGCGAUGAAGGCCUUCGGGUUGUAAAGCACUGUCGAGGGGGAGAAAAGGGUUAAACCUUGAUCUAUCCCUGGAGGAAGCACGGGCUAAGUUCGUGCCAGCAGCCGCGGUAAGACGAACCGUGCGAACGUUAUUCGGAAUCACUGGGCUUAAAGGGCGCGUAGGCGGGUUGCCAAGUCUGUGGCGAAAUCCUCCGGCUCAACCGGAGAACGGCCGUGGAUACUGGCGACCUCGAGGGGGGUAGGGGCUUGCGGAACUGUGCGUGGAGCGGUGAAAUGCGUUGAUAUGCACAGGAACUCCGGUGGCGAAGGCGGCGAGCUGGACCCUUUCUGACGCUGAGGCGCGAAAGCCAGGGGAGCGAACGG
rnacentral:rRNA from 1 species